CACAAUCUGAUGGACAAACAAAAGUUGUCAAUCGUUGUCUGGAAACGUAUCUACACUGCUUUGCUUCUGGAAAACCUCGAAGUUGGGCUCGCUGGUUGGCAUGGGCUGAGUAUUGGUAUAAUACUUCCUUCCACUCUUCUACACGUUGUACUCCAUUUCGUGCUCUCUAUGGAAGGGAUCCACCCCCUCUUAUUCGGUAUGAGCAAGGAGCUGCUUCGGUAUCUUUGGUGGAACAAUUAAUGGAGGAUCGUGAUGCCAUACUGGACGAUCUGAGGAUGCAGUUGCUUCGUGCCCAGCAGCGGAUGAAGCUGCAAGCUGAUCAAAAGCGCCAUCAUGUAGAGUUCAAUGCAGGUGAUUUGUUAUUUCUGAAACUAAGACCUUACCGGCAGCGCUCCCUCGCUCAACGUAAGUUUGAGAAAUUAGCUGCACGUUACUACGGUCCAUUUAAGGUUCUUCAGCGUAUCGGGAAGGUGGCAUACAAACUAGAACCGCCUCAAACAGCAAAACUCACCAUGUCUUUCAUGUUUCGCAGUUGAGGGCAGCACUUGGUGUGUCAUCCUUUUCCCCCACUAUCCCCCCACAGUUGACUCCUGAGCUUGAACUCGUGGUGGAACCUGAAAAAUUGUUGGGAGUUCGUCCUAAGGUUAAUGGUCAAUCCGGUGAAGUGGAGGUGCUGCUCAAAUGGAAAUCCUUGCCUGAGUUUGAGGCAACUUGGGAGGAUUUUCAUCUUAUCCAACAACAAUUUCCCGAUUUCCACCUUGAGGACAAGGUGAAAGUUUGGGCGGAUGGUAAUGUUAAGCCACAAGUGUGUUUCACAUAUGCA
rnacentral:lncRNA from 1 species